rnacentral:rRNA from 1 species
AUUGAACGCUGGCGGCAGGCCUAACACAUGCAAGUCGAGCGAGAGGCGGACGGGUGUGUAAUGUAUGGGGACUGCCCGAUAGAGGGGGAUAACUCCUGGAAACGGUAGCUCAUACCGCAUACUCUAUGCUAGCACACAUGGGAUUAGCUAGGAGGUGAGGUAAAGGAUCCCCUAGACGACGAUCCCUAGCUGGUCUGGGAGGAUGAUCAGCCACACUGGGAAUGAGACACGGCCCAGACUCCGACGGAGGCAGCAGUGGGGAAUAUUGCACAAUGGGCGCAAGCCUGAUGCAGCCAUGCCGCGUGUAUGAAGAAGGCCCUAGGGUUGUAAAGUACUUUCAGUCGGGAGGCGUUACCGACAGAAGAAGCACCGGCUAACUCCGUGCCAGCAGCCGCGGUAAUAC